GACGAACCGUGCGAACGUUAUUCGGAAUCACUGGGCUUAAAGCGCGUGUAGGCGGCUCGGCAAGUCGGGUGUGAAAGCCCUGGGCUUAACCUAGGAAGUGCACUCGAAACUGCCAAGCUUGAGUUCUGGAGAGGAAGGCGGAAUUCUCGGUGUAGAGGUGAAAUUCGUAGAUAUCGAGAGGAACACCGGUGGCGAAGGCGGCCUUCUGGACAGCAACUGACGCUGAGACGCGAAAGCGUGGGGAGCAAACAGG
rnacentral:rRNA from 1 species